AUUGAACGCUGGCGGCAGGCUUAACACAUGCAAGUCGAGCGGUAACAGACAGAGCUUGCUCUGUGCUGACGAGCGGCGGACGGGUGAGUAACGCGUAGGAAUCUGCCCAGUAGCGGGGGAUAGCCCGGGGAAACCCGGAUUAAUACCGCAUACGCCCCACGGGGGAAAGCAGGGGAUCUUCGGACCUUGCGCUAUUGGAUGAGCCUGCGUCGGAUUAGCUAGUUGGUGGGGUAAAAGCCUACCAAGGCGACGAUCCGUAGCUGGUCUGAGAGGAUGAUCAGCCACACCGGGACUGAGACAACGGCCCGGACUCCUACGGGAGGCAGCAGUGGGGAAUAUUGGACAAUGGGGGCAACCCUGAUCCAGCCAUGCCGCGUGUGUGAAGAAGGCUUUCGGGUUGUAAAGCACUUUCAGUGAGGAGGAAAUGCCUGGGGCGAAUAGCUUCGGGUUUUGACGUUUACUCACAGAAGAAGCACCGGCUAACUCCGUGCCAGCCGCCGCGGUAAUU
rnacentral:rRNA from 1 species